GAACAUCUUCCUUUAUUAAACUCCUCCCCCACUUCCUUUGUGCAAAGUAACAGCUAACAAAAUAGAGAAUCACUGUUAAAGUGACUACUACUCACUUCCCCCCUCCCAUCGUGUAACCAAGAUGGAGCCGAAAUAUGGGUGGGAGAAGUCUGUAAUGGCGACACUACAUCCUGUAGGGGGGGUUUAGACAAGACCCCUUAGACUGUUAACCAAUUGAUGAAUGUAUACUGUAUGUUAACUGUGACUCUG